rnacentral:lncRNA from 1 species
UUAUUUUGUUUGGUUUCUUUACCUUCUUGCAUUUCCAUUUUCCUCACUUGGUUUAGAGAUAGUUUGGUCUUAAUGUAGAAUCGUUCGGUCAUCUGUGGGACCGUUCGGUCUUCAUGCUUUGUCCAUUUAUUUCAAUGUUUUCAAGUAUGUUUAGUUGCUUUUAAUUUUCAGUUUUAAUUUAAUUUAAUUUUCCUUGCGAAAAAAAAACCUUUCACACCCCCCCCCACUUCGUGUUAGACCUAAGACUCGAACCACAUUUGGUCCUUGAGAGAUGACCUAGGAGUCACUUCCUAGCUAUACUGCAUUUCUUAUAUGCAAUCAAAUUUGUAUGGGUCGCGACAACCCAACAAAUUUUGGCGUCGUUGCUGGGGACCAACGGUUCGGUUUUAGGUCUUUUGUUGUGUUAGAAUGUGUUGUGUUUUGUCUUGUGUUGUGAGUGUGUUGUUCUAUUUUGUGUGUUCGUCAUUGUGUGUUGCAUUCAGGUAGCUUAGGUUGCAUAUUUUCAAUGCAUUCUUCUUUUCCCCCAUCUUUCCCAUGUCUACCUGUUUUGGCUAUGUGGAUAUUGUUACUUCUGCCUGGG